rnacentral:rRNA from 1 species
UACAGAGGGUGCGAGCGUUAAUCGGAAUUACUGGGCGUAAAGCGUGCGUAGACGGUUAUUUAAGUCGGGUGUGAAAGCCCCGGGCUCAACCUGGGAAUUGCACUCGAUACUGCCGAGCUAGAGUAUCGGAGAGGUUGGUGGAAUUCUCGGUGUAGAGGUGAAAUUCGUAGAUAUCGAGAGGAACACCGGUGGCGAAGGCGGCCAACUGGACGAAUACUGACGCUGAGACUCGAAAGCGUGGGGAGCAAACAGG